UACGGAGGGGGCUAGCGUUGUUCGGAAUUACUGGGCGUAAAGCGCGCGUAGGCGGCUUUGCAAGUUAGAGGUGAAAGCCCGGGGCUCAACCCCGGAAUUGCCUUUAAGACUGCAUCGCUAGAAUCCAGGAGAGGUGAGUGGAAUUCCGAGUGUAGAGGUGAAAUUCGUAGAUAUUCGGAAGAACACCAGUGGCGAAGGCGGCUCACUGGACUGGUAUUGACGCUGAGGUGCGAAAGCGUGGGGAGCAAACAGG
rnacentral:rRNA from 1 species